rnacentral:rRNA from 1 species
CUACAGGCUUAACACAUGCAAGUCGAGGGGCAGCAUGGUCUUAGCUUGCUAAGGCCGAUGGCGACCGGCGCACGGGUGAGUAACACGUAUCCAACCUGCCGUCUACUCUUGGACAGCCUUCUGAAAGGAAGAUUAAUACAAGAUGGCAUCAUGAGUCCGCAUGUUCACAUGAUUAAAGGUGUUCCGGUAGACGAUGGGGAUGCGUUCCAUUAGAUAGUAGGCGGGGUAACGGCCCACCUAGUCUUCGAUGGAUAGGGGUUCUGAGAGGAAGGUCCCCCACAUUGGAACUGAGACACGGUCCAAACUCCUACGGGAGGCAGCAGUGAGGAAUAUUGGUCAAUGGGCGAGAGCCUGAACCAGCCAAGUAGCGUGAAGGAUGACUGCCCUAUGGGUUGUAAACUUCUUUUAUAAAGGAAUAAAGUCGGGUAUGCAUACCCGUUUGCAUGUACUUUAUGAAUAAGGAUCGGCUAACUCCGUGCCAGCAGCCGCGGUAAUACGGAGGAUCCGAGCGUUAUCCGGAUUUAUUGGGUUUAAAGGGAGCGUAGAUGGAUGUUUAAGUCAGUUGUGAAAGUUUGCGGCUCAACCGUAAAAUUGCAGUUGAUACUGGAUAUCUUGAGUGCAGUUGAGGCAGGCGGAAUUCGUGGUGUAGCGGUGAAAUGCUUAGAUAUCACGAAGAACUCCGAUUGCGAAGGCAGCCUGCUAAGCUGCAACUGACAUUGAGGCUCGAAAGUGUGGGUAUCAAACAGGAUUAGAUACCCUGGUAGUCCACACGGUAAACGAUGAAUACUCGCUGCUUGCGAUAUACGGCAAGCGGCCAAGCGAAAGCGUUAAGUAUUCCACCUGGGGAGUACGCCGGCAACGGUGAAACUCAAAGGAUUGACGGGGGCCCGCACAAGCGGAGGAACAUGUGGUUUAAUUCGAUGAUACGCGAGGAACCUUACCCGGGCUUAAAUUGCAGAUGAAUUACGGUGAAAGCCGUAAGCCGCAAGGCAUCUGUGAAGGUGCUGCAUGGUUGUCGUCAGCUCGUGCCGUGAGGUGUCGGCUUAAGUGCCAUAACGAGCGCAACCCUUGUUGUCAGUUACUAACAGGUCAUGCUGAGGACUCUGACAAGACUGCCAUCGUAAGAUGUGAGGAAGGUGGGGAUGACGUCAAAUCAGCACGGCCCUUACGUCCGGGGCUACACACGUGUUACAAUGGGGGGUACAGAGGGCCGCUACCACGCGAGUGGAUGCCAAUCCCAAAAACCUCUCUCAGUUCGGACUGGAGUCUGCAACCCGACUCCACGAAGCUGGAUUCGAUAGUAAUCGUGCAUCAGCCACGGCGCGGUGAAUACGUUCCCGGGCCUUGUACACUCCGCCCGUCAAGCCAUGGGAGCCGGGGGUACCUGAAGUGCGUAUCCGCGAGGAGCGCCCUAGGGUAAAAUUGGUGACUGG